AGGACUUAAGGAUUGUUGAUGCACAAAAUUAGUGAGGACUUUGGGACAACAGAAAAAAUUAAGUUUGUGAUCUUCGCUAGAUUGCUCCGGUCAUUAGUGUGGAUAAGUAUGUAAAUGGAUAGAGACAGGGAAGCAAACACAAGAUGUACGUGGUUCACCCAGAUUGGCUACGUCCACGGAGUAGAGAAGUUCUCAUUAAAUGUGAAGGGUUUACACAAGUACAUAGGUUCAAGCUCUCCUUUAAUGAGUACAAGU
rnacentral:lncRNA from 1 species